GAGCUUAGUGAUAGAGCACCUGCUCUGCAUGCAGAAGGUCACGGGUUCAAUCCCCAACA
rnacentral:tRNA from 1 species